AGAUAUGUCACUAGACGCAUCUGCGCUCAUGGAGACAACGGUGAGAUGUUUGCCUGACUCCAUGAAGAGAGUUGCUCAGAAACUGUUGAAGAAGAAGAGCAAAUGCAUCGAAUUCUCACCUGAAAAUUUAAGUUUCCGUUAUGUAAUCAUAUCAAGACAUUGAUCAUCAUGUAAUGUAAAGCAAAAAAUGUACAUUAAAAACGUCACGUAGUUUUCAUUUUACAAACUGAAAGUUGAACUACACACCGUUUUGAAUACAUCACAUACUGUAGUUUUUAUCUUACAAAUGGAGAGUUGAACUGCAUGCCGUUUUGUAUUUCAACAUUGCCACACGAAUAAUUCAAGGCCCAGAAGGAAAGUGAAAAUGAGUGGCGAUGAUGGUGAAAGGCUUUUGGUUUGGGAUUGGAGUAGGGAUCUUGUCGGCCAUUGUUGUUUUCGUUAUUGGGCUUAGAGGAGGAGUUAUGCAGAGCUCGACGAUCUUCUUGUCUGGUGUCAGAUCGGUUCUCACUCCAGCCACCGAACGAGGUUCCAUGGCGACAUCCUCUAACGGUCCUAAGUGGGCUCAGAAAACAAUCACGCUUCCACCGCAACGCCGUGGAUGUCAUCUUAUCACUCCCAAGGUUUCUUCUUUUGAGUGUUUUUUUUCAGCUAUGGGUUUUGUGGAUUGAGUUAAUAAAGUUUUGAUUUUGAAACAGAUUUUGAAGGAAAUUGGACAAGACUUGUCGGGUUUUAACUGUGGUCUUGCUCAUGUCUUCUGUGAGUGUUCUUGUCUUUGUAAUAUUUCUCAAGCUUCUAUUUGAACCCUUGAUUGAAAGUUUGGAUUUAUUUUUUUUUUUUUGGCAGUACAACACACAAGUGCUUCUCUUACAAUCAAUGAGAAUUAUGAUCCUGAUGUUCAGGCUGAUACUGAGACUUUCCUGAACAGGAUUGUUCCUGAGGUAUAUUCUAUUUAGCUACCUUCUCAUUGUUACUCAUCUUGGUGCUUAAGUUGUUGAUCACUUUAUUUUUUUUGUUCUUUUAAUUCAGGGGAGUUCAGCUCCUUGGAGGCAUACCAUGGAAGGUUUGUUUACAUGAAACAUAGUCUCAUUUAAAACGCGUUGAUAUAAUCAAAAGCUGUUCCUUUUAUCCUCUGAUUUUGUUUGGCAAGUCAUAUGAAAUCUCUCAUGUGUUUUGAGAAUUGAAUUGUGUACAUUAUUGCAGGUCCAGAUGACAUGCCAGCUCAUAUCAAAUCAUCAAUGUUUGGAUGUCAACUCACGUGAGCCUCCUACUAUCUUAUGUUUUUUUAGCACUAUUUAUUGUGUUAGAUUGUGGGGGUAUUUUCACAUGAUAACUGUUUUGAUUGUUUAUGCAUGCAGAAUCCCAAUAACAAAAGGCAAACUUAACAUGGGAACUUGGCAGGUAUUCAAUUUCUCCAUCUGACACUAUGCAUUACUACUUUCACAUGCUUUUCCAUGUUUCCUCUCAUUUAUGGUGGUUGGAUUGAUUGUAAAUGGAUCUUUAUUUCUUUCAAUAGUACCAUUGUUUUCAGUGUAUAUCCUCCACUGCUCUCGUUUGGAACUAGUUAUCUCAUGUUAAAAGUUUUUUGUGCUGCAAAUGUUGGGUUUCAGGGAAUAUGGCUGUGUGAACACCGUGAUGAUCCGACAGCACGCAGAGUUGUAGUCACACUCAAUGGGAUGUAGAGACAUCGCUUCAUGUUUCGUUACCUCGUGUGGAUUUAACGGUCUUUUAAUGAAAAGUUACCCUUUUUCUCUGUGAGACAAUGCUCUGACAACGUUCGUAUACAGAAUGAGACAAAGAUAGUGUUGCCUAAGAUAGUUCAUUACUAUGCUAAAGAUAUGUCACUAGACGCAUCUGCGCUCAUGGAGACAACGGUGAGAUGUUUGCCUGACUCCAUGAAGAGAGUUGCUCAGAAACUGUUGAAGAAGAAGAGCAAAUGCAUCGAAUUCUCACCUGAAAAUUUAAGUUUCCGUUAUGUAAUCAUAUCAAGACAUUGAUCAUCAUGUAAUGUAAAGCAAAAAAUGUACAUUAAAAACGUCACGUAGUUUUCAUUUUACAAACUGAAAGUUGAACUACA
rnacentral:lncRNA from 1 species